CCGACUGCUAUCGGAUAGAGACUAAGCCAUGCAAGUUGUACGUCUCUCGACUGCGGGAGGCGUAGCGGACGGCUCAGUAACACGUAGUCAAACUACCCUAGAGACGUGAAUAACCCCGGGAAACUGGGAUUAAUCCACGAUAGAUCAAAGCUUCUGGAAUGGGGUUUGAUCCAAAGGGAAGAGCAAGCAUGUUUUGCCCUAUUCGCUCUAGGAUGUGACUGCGGCCGAUCAGGUUGUUGGUGAGGUAACGGCUCACCAAGCCUAUAACCGGUACGGGCUUUGAGAGAAGGAGCCCGGAGAUGGACACUGAGACAAGGGUCCAGGUCCUACGGGGCGCAGCAGGCGCGAAACCUUCGCAAUACGCGAAAGCGUGACGAGGUUAGUCCGAGUGCCAUCCGCUGAGGGUGGCUUUUCUUAAGUUUUAAACGCUUAGGGAAUAAGGGGAGGGUAAGUCUGGUGUCAGCCGCCGCGGUAAUACCAGCUCCCCGAGUGGUCGGGAUGUUUAUUGGGCCUAAAGUAUCCGUAGCCGGUCCUGUAGGUCUUCUGUUAAAUCUAACGGCUCAACCGUUGGUCUGCAGAAGAUACCGCAGGACUAGGAGGCGGGAGAGGCGGACGGUACUCCAUGGGUAGGGGCAAAAUCCUUUGAUCCAUGGAAGACCACCAGUGGCGAAGGCGGUCCGCCAGAACGCGCUCGACGGUGAGGGAUGAAAGCUGGGGGAGCGAACCGGAUUAGAUACCCGGGUAGUCCCAGCCGUAAACGAUGCGAGCUAGGUGAUGGAGUGGCUACGUGCCACUCCAGUGCCGCAGGGAAGCCGUUAAGCUCGCCGCCUGGGAAGUACGGUCGCAAGGCUGAAACUUAA
rnacentral:rRNA from 1 species